AUUGAACGCUGGCGGCAGGCCUAACACAUGCAAGUCGAGCGAGCGGCGGACGGGUGAGAAAUGUCUGUGAAACUGUCCGAUGGAGGGGGAUAAAAACUGGAAAAGGUAGCGAUAACCGCACACCCUCUGAUGUGCCCACAUGGGAUUAGCUAGUAGGUGGGGUAACGGCUCACCUGGGCGCCGAUCCCUAGCUGGUCUGAGAGGAUGACCAGCCACACUGGAACUGAGACACGGUCCAGACUCCUACGGGAGGCAGCAGUGGGGAAUAUUGCACAAUGGGCGCAAGCCUGAUGCAGCCAUGCCGCGUGUGUGAAGAAGGCCUUCGGGUUGUAAAGCACUUUCAGCGGGGAGGCGUUACCCGCAGAAGAAGCACCGGCUAACUCCGUGCCAGCCGCCGCGGUAAUUC
rnacentral:rRNA from 1 species